UGGGGAAUUUUGGACAAUGGGCGAAAGCCUGAUCCAGCAAUGCCGCGUGUGUGAAGAAGGCCUUCGGGUUGUAAAGCACUUUUGUCCGGAAAGAAAUCCUUGGCUCUAAUACAGUCGGGGGAUGACGGUACCGGAAGAAUAAGCACCGGCUAACUACGUGCCAGCAGCCGCGGUAAUACGUAGGGUGCAAGCGUUAAUCGGAAUUACUGGGCGUAAAGCGUGCGCAGGCGGUUUGCUAAGACCGAUGUGAAAUCCCCGGGCUCAACCUGGGAACUGCAUUGGUGACUGGCAGGCUAGAGUAUGGCAGAGGGGGGUAGAAUUCCACGUGUAGCAGUGAAAUGCGUAGAGAUGUGGAGGAAUACCGAUGGCGAAGGCAGCCCCCUGGGCCAGUACUGACGCUCAUGCACGAAAGCGUGGGGAGCAAACAGGAUUAGAUACCCUGGUAGUCCACGCCCUAAACGAUGUCAACUAGUUGUUGGGGAUUCAUUUCCUUAGUAACGUAGCUAACGCGUGAAGUUGACCGCCUGGGGAGUACGGUCGCAAGAUUAAAACUUAAAUGAAUUGACGGGGU
rnacentral:rRNA from 1 species